rnacentral:rRNA from 1 species
CUACGGGGGGCUGCAGUGGGGAAUAUUGGGCAAUGGGCGCAAGCCUGACCCAGCAACGCCGCGUGAGGGAAGAAUGUCUUCGGAUUGUAAACCUCUGUCCUUGGGGACGAAAAAAAUGACGGUACCCAAGGAGGAAGCUCCGGCUAACUACGUGCCAGCAGCCGCGGUAAUACGUAGGGAGCAAGCGUUGUCCGGAAUUAUUGGGCGUAAAGGGUGCGUAGGCGGCGCUGUAAGUCAGAUGUGAAAUCCCCGGGCUUAACUCGGGAGUUGCAUUUGAAACUACAGUGCUUGAGUAAAAAGGGGUAAGUGGAAUUCCUAGUGUAGCGGUGGAAUGCGUAGAUAUUAGGAGGAACACCAGUGGCGAAGGCGACUUACUGGUCUUUUACUGACGCUGAGGCACGAAAGCGUGGGGAGCAAACAGGAUUAGAUACCCUCGUAGUC